UGCUGACGGUCGUCUGCACACUUGGGC
rnacentral:piRNA from 1 species